rnacentral:lncRNA from 1 species
AUUUUCUCAGAAUUCUCUGGACUGAGGCUCCAGUUCUGGCCUUUGGGGUUCAAGAUCACUGGGACCAGGCCGUGAUCUCUAUGCCCGAGUCUCAACCCUCAACUGUCACCCCAAGGCACUUGGGACGUCCUGGACAGACCGAGUCCCGGGAAGCCCCAGCACUGCCGCUGCCACACUGCCCUGAGCCCAAAUGGGGGAGUGAGAGGCCAUAGCUGUCUGGCAUGGGCCUCUCCACCGUGCCUGACCUGCUGCUGCCACUGGUGCUCCUGGAGCUGUUGGUGGGAAUAUACCCCUCAGGGGUUAUUGGACUGGUCCCUCACCUAGGGGACAGGGAGAAGAGAGAUAGUGUGUGUCCCCAAGGAAAAUAUAUCCACCCUCAAAAUAAUUCGAUUUGCUGUACCAAGUGCCACAAAGCCUAACUCUGCGGCCCCAUUCACAGGAACCUACUUGUACAAUGACUGUCCAGGCCCGGGGCAGGAUACGGACUGCAGGGAGUGUGAGAGCGGCUCCUUCACCGCUUCAGAAAACCACCUCAGACACUGCCUCAGCUGCUCCAAAUGCCGAAAGG